UGCUGGUGAGCUGCCUGCACCUUGGUGUCUGUGUAUUCGUCUCGACUUUGUGGCAUCACACGUCAACUACACUGAACGCGGGUGUCAUAGACUGCCAGGGAAUUUUCAUGAAAACAGCCAGGGAAAGCUUGGAAAAACAUCAGGGAAAUUGAAAAUGACAACAUAGCAUGCACCUGCAGCACCUUCGGAACGGCUGACACGAAGGUCAAGGCCAGCCAGGCAACCGUGCUUGCCAAGGGGAAGCAGCUUUAAAUAUGUAAAUAUUCUCUUUUGAUGAUAGCAUAAGACAUGCAUUUUAAUAAAUUAAUGUAUUAUAUCGUUCAAUAAAAACAUUUA